rnacentral:misc_RNA from 1 species
ACACCUCAACUCUCACGGUUCGCCGUGAUGAGCUUGGACUUUGGGGGUCUUGCUGGCCUGUGGUCAGCUCCUCUCAAAUGAAUUAGCUUGCCAGUGUUUGGUGGCAUCACGGGUGUGAUAACUAUCUACGCUUGUGGUUUCCCACCAGGUAACCUUCAGUGAUGAAGGUUCGCUGGGGCUCAUAAAUGUGUCUCUCCUCAGCGAGGGACAGCUCUUUGAAU